GACGAACGCUGGCGGCGUGCCUAAUACAUGCAAGUAGAACGCUGAAACUUGGUGCUUGCACCGAGCGGAUGAGUUGCGAACGGGUGAGUAACGCGUAGGUAACCUGCCUGGUAGCGGGGGAUAACUAUUGGAAACGAUAGCUAAUACCGCAUAAGAGUAGAUGUUGCAUGACAUUUGCUUAAAAGGUGCAAUUGCACCACUACCAGAUGGACCUGCGUUGUAUUAGCUAGUUGGUGGGGUAACGGCUCACCAAGGCGACGAUACAUAGCCGACCUGAGAGGGUGGUCGGCCAAACUGGGACUGAGACACGGCCCAGACUCCUACGGGAGGGAGCAGUAGGGAAUCUUCGGCAAUGGACGGAAGUCUGACCGAGCAACGCCGCGUGAGUGAAGAAGGUUUUCGGAUCGUAAAGCUCUGUUGUAAGAGAAGAACGAGUGUGAGAGUGGAAAGUUCACACUGUGACGGUAUCUUACCAGAAAGGGACGGCUAACUACGUG
rnacentral:rRNA from 1 species